rnacentral:rRNA from 1 species
GUUGCGGUUAAAAAGCUCGUAGUUGGAUUUCUUCAUAAGGAGGGCGGUCUGCGCUAUGCGACACGUAUCUGCCACUCUUUGUGAAUCCGGAAGUUUAAGGUGUGUCGCUUCAUUGCGACAUCCGUAGGCUUCUCUUUUACUUUGAGGAAAUUAGAGUGUUCACGGCAGGCAAUCGCCCUGAAUACAUUAGCAUGGAAUAAUAAUAUAGGACGUUGGCCCUAUUUUGUUGGUUUCUAGAGCUAACGUAAUGAUUAAUAGGGAUAAUUGGGGGCAUUCGUAUUAUCACGUCAGAGGUGGAAUUCUUGGAUUGUGUUACGA